AGCGAACGCUGGCGGCAGGCUUAACACAUGCAAGUCGAGCGGGCACUUUCGGGUGUCAGCGGCGGACGGGUGAGUAACGCGUGGGAACGUGCCCUCUGGUUCGGAAUAACUCAGGGAAACUUGAGCUAAUACCGGAUACGCCCUUUUGGGGAAAGGCUUGCUGCCGGAGGAUCGGCCCGCGUCUGAUUAGCUAGUUGGUGAGGUAACGGCUCACCAAGGCGACGAUCAGUAGCUGGUCUGAGAGGAUGAUCAGCCACACUGGGACUGAGACACGGCCCAGACUCCUACGGGAGGCAGCAGUGGGGAAUAUUGGACAAUGGGCGCAAGCCUGAUCCAGCCAUGCCGCGUGAGUGAUGAAGGCCUUAGGGUUGUAAAGCUCUUUUAUCCGGGACGAUAAUGACGGUACCGUAGGAAUAAGCCCCGGCUAACUUCGUG
rnacentral:rRNA from 1 species